rnacentral:rRNA from 1 species
UGUGGGGGAUGUCUUGGCGCCAGAAGGCGAUGAAGGGCGUGGAAGGCUGCGAAAAGCCUGGGGGAGCUGUCAAACGAGCGUUGAUCCCGGGAUCCCUGAAUUGCGGCAUGCUGAAUCCAUAGGCAUGUCGGGCUAACGCGGUGAACUGAAACAUCUCAGUAACCGUAGGAAAGGAAAGUAAGAACGACUUCCUGAGUAGCGGCGAGCGAAAAGGAACCAGCC